rnacentral:rRNA from 1 species
UCUAAUACCGAAUAUGACCGCGCACUUCCUGGUGUGUGGUGGAAAGCUUUUGCGGUGUGGGAUGGGCCCGCGGCCUAUCAGCUUGUUGGUGGGGUAAUGGCCUACCAAGGCGACGACGGGUAGCCGGCCUGAGAGGGUGACCGGCCACACUGGGACUGAGAUACGGCCCAGACUCCUACGGGAGGCAGCAGUGGGGAAUAUUGCACAAUGGGCGCAAGCCUGAUGCAGCGACGCCGCGUGAGGGAUGACGGCCUUCGGGUUGUAAACCUCUUUCAAUAGGGACGAAGCGCAAGUGACGGUACCUAUAGAAGAAGGACCGGCCAACUACGUGCCAGCAGCCGCGGUAAUACGUAGGGUCCGAGCGUUGUCCGGAAUUACUGGGCGUAAAGAGCUCGUAGGUGGUUUGUCGCGUUGUUCGUGAAAACUCACAGCUUAACUGUGGGCGUGCGGGCGAUACGGGCAGACUAGAGUACUGCAGGGGAGACUGGAAUUCCUGGUGUAGCGGUGGAAUGCGCAGAUAUCAGGAGGAACACCGGUGGCGAAGGCGGGUCUCUGGGCAGUAACUGACGCUGAGGAGCGAAAGCGUGGGGAGCGAACAGGAUUAGAUACCCUGGUAGUCCACGCCGUAAACGGUGGGUACUAGGUGUGGGUUUCCUUCCUUGGGAUCCGUGCCGUAGCUAACGCAUUAAGUACCCCGCCUGGGGAGUACGGCCGCAAGGCUAAAACUCAAAGAAAUUGAGCGGGGGCCCGCACAACGCGGCGGAGCAUGUGGAUUAAUUCGAUGCAAGCGCGAAGAAUCCUUAUCCUGGG